rnacentral:rRNA from 1 species
AACGCUGGCGGCAGGCUUAACACAUGCAAGUCGAGCGCACUCUUUUAGAGUGAGCGGCAAACGGGUGAGUAACGCGUGGGAAUCUACCCAUCUCUACGGAAUAACACAGAGAAAUUUGUGCUAAUACCGUAUACGUCCUUAGGGAGAAAGAUUUAUCGGAGAUGGAUGAGCCCGCGUUGGAUUAGCUAGUUGGUGAGGUAACGGCUCACCAAGGCGACGAUCCAUAGCUGGUCUGAGAGGAUGAUCAGCCACACUGGGACUGAGACACGGCCCAGACUCCUACGGGAGGCAGCAGUGGGGAAUAUUGGACAAUGGGGGCAACCCUGAUCCAGCCAUGCCGCGUGAGUGAUGAAGGCCCUAGGGUUGUAAAGCUCUUUCACCGGUGAAGAUAAUGACGGUAACCGGAGAAGAAGCCCCGGCUAACUUCGUGCCAGCAGCCGCGGUAAUACGAAGGGGGCUAGCGUUGUUCGGAUUUACUGGGCGUAAAGCGCACGUAGGCGGAUAUUUAAGUCAGAGGUGAAAUCCCAGGGCUCAACCCUGGAACUGCCUUUGAUACUGGAUAUCUUGAGUAUGGAAGAGGUG